UAACUUGAGAAAAUAUUCCUACUGAUUUCGGCCCAGUAUAAUGAACUAAUAGUUCACUAGUUAU
rnacentral:tRNA from 1 species